rnacentral:rRNA from 1 species
GACGAACGCUGGCGGCGUGCUUAACACAUGCAAGUCGAACGGAAAGGCCUGCUUUCCCUUGUGGAUUGCGGGUACUCGAGUGGCGAACGGGUGAGUAACACGUGAGUGAUCUGCCCCCAACUUGGGUAUAAGCCUGGGAAACUGGGUCUAAUUCCCGAUAGGACUGCAGGGUGGUGCCUGUGGUGGAAAACGAUUUUCUAGUGGUUGGGGAUGAGCUCGCGGCCUAUCAGCUUGUUGGUGGGGUAAUGGCCUACCAAGGCGGCGACAGGUAGCCGGCCUGAGAGGGUGGACGGCCACAUUGGGACUGAGAUACGGCCCAGACUCCUACGGGAGGCAGCAGUGGGGAAUAUUGCACAAUGGGCGGAAGCCUGAUGCAGCGACGCCGCGUGGGGGAUGACGGCCUUCGGGUGGUAAACUCCUUUCGACCGCGAGGAAGCCACCUGGUUGGAAGGGUGGUGACGGUAGUGGUAGAAGAAGCACCGGCUAACUACGUG